rnacentral:rRNA from 1 species
CCUACGGGGGGCUGCAGUGGGGAAUAUUGCACAAUGGGCGCAAGCCUGAUGCAGCAACGCCGCGUGCGGGAUGACGGCCUUCGGGUUGUAAACCGCUUUCAGCAGGGACGAAGCGCAAGUGACGGUACCUGCAGAAGAAGCACCGGCCAACUACGUGCCAGCAGCCGCGGUGAUACGUAGGGUGCAAGCGUUGUCCGGAAUUAUUGGGCGUAAAGAGCUUGUAGGCGGUCUGUUGCGUCGAAAGUGAAAACUCAGGGCUUAACCCUGAGCCUGCUUUCGAUACGGGCAGACUAGAGGAAGGUAGGGGAGAACGGAAUUCCUGGUGGAGCGGUGGAAUGCGCAGAUAUCAGGAGGAACACCGGUGGCGAAGGCGGUUCUCUGGACCUUUCCUGACGCUGAGAAGCGAAAGCGUGGGGAGCAAACAGGCUUAGAUACCCUAGUAGUC